CUCGCAUUCUGAGAUUUUCACGCACGACAACGUACAAACUCUAGAGUUUACACAAAAAGUUUACACACACACACACACACACAAAAAAAAAACAACAACAAACAAAAAACCACACUGUUGUGACAGUGACAGUUCUAUGGGGAGAAACGCCUUGUUGAUGAGAAAGCUCAGAGGAAAAUGGGCAGAUUGGAUAAAGCUGACAGCUAAAGCUAAAGCUACAUGAUAUAUAUAUAUAUAUAUAUAUAUAAAACUCAAACAAUCACUCUUUACAACCGUGAUGCUCAGAAAAGCAUCGCAGCACAUCAAACCUUAAGGGAUCAACAAUCUGAGGCUACAGUGGACACAGACUCAUUAAAACUGGUAAUAAAAAGUAGAAAACUGACAGAGUGUAUGUUAAGACAGUGGUUUUCAAAGUGGGGGCUGCAGCCCCCUUGGGGGCCGCCAGGGGGCCUCAACAAUUUGGUGUGAAAACUAAAUUCUCACUUUCAGACAACCACACACACAAUCAAUUCCUAAUGUAAUGUAAAGAUGUAAGAUGUCAUUAUUAAUAAAAAAAAAAAAAGGGGGGAUAUAUUCAGAAGUCUGUAUUUUGAAUGUGUUUUAAAGACAUCUUGCAAAAGGGGGCCUCGGUCAAAUGUUAAUGCCAUUUGAGGGGCGUUGCCCUGGAAAAAGUUUGGGAACCCCUGUGUUAAGACAUUAAUACUGAUUAAUACAUUACAACAUUCAUUUUUGAUUGUUAUAGAAACGUGAGGAUUCUUGUUCACAUCUUUUACUCUUUUAUCACUCACUUUUCCCCCCUUUGCCUGUUGAUCAGAAUAGCACCCCUAAAGACUAAAAACGUGUUCCACCGUCGCUCUGUUGUUUCUGCGCCGCUUUGUUUAAGGCAGCUUCGAAGUUUUUCCCGCCUUGUUCAAAACUCUCUUGGUCUUAAGUAAGACUUGAAGUAAACGAUGUGCCGGCCUUUUAAGUCGUUACACGCGUUAGACACACGCGAGUCACGUUCAAAUAAAUGAACUAGAGCGUGUCGAUGGGGAAACAAACUCUGAGCUUGCUAAUAAAGAGCGGCCUAAUUGCUGACUCGACGGCUUUAACGUUUAGACUGGGUGUGAUGAGUUCUCAGUGUACAAAGACUGAGAGAGGGGGAUUUCAUUUUACUUCUUGCCAAUAUUAAGAUUGCCGAUGUGUGUAUUAACGCUUAAUUUCGAUUCUCGCAUGUCAUGUUUCUAUAUAGGCACUCGGUGUUAUAACUAGUAGGUUUAUUAAUAACAGUUCUCAUUCCAGUAAUGAGAGAGAGAGAAGGGGGGGAAGGGGGAGAUAUUACAUUCUCCACAUAUCAGAUGAUACCACUCAUAAUGUUUUCUUCAUAACUAACAUGAGUGUGUGUGGAAUUUACUCCAACCACUUCAGGCACGUACAGCAAUCCUUUUGUGUGUGUGUGUGUGUGUGAGCGUGUGUUUAGUGCUGUUGUUUUCGCUUAGUCGAUGACUUUCACAACACUGUGCCCUGAGUGUUUUCUUUCUUACUUGUUAAGCCAGUUUUGAUGCACCUCUAUGGCAAAUGAACUGGAAUCUUAUAGAAAUGCGUGUGUGGCCUUUGCUCUUCUAACUGGAAAGAUAAAGGCAGCGUGCAGAGCAGCCAGUGCAGAGGCUGUAAUUCAGUUAACAGGCCUGAUUAACCCGAGUGUUUAUUACUGAUGAGAAAAGCAGCGCUGGAGUGUUGUUACAGACAGUGAGACAUGCAGCACUACACUGGUAGACACUGUAAUCAUGCUGGCAUACAAAGCAAAUAAAAAAAUAAUACGACUACAAGCAAGGUACUUCAUCAAAACUGUGUGUGUGUGUGUGUGUGUGUGUGUGUGUGUUUGUGUAUGUAGGAAAACCCGUCUGCCAGAUCAAGGCUUAAUGGUGUUAGAUUACAAACAUGCUUUCUGUAUGAGUGGAGAGUGCCACUCUCCUAACAGAGGGAGGGAGGGAGGGAGAGAGAGAGAGAGAGAGAGGAAAACACACACACACACACACACUCUAAACACACAUUCAUCACUAUCACUACUUUGUCUUGGUUUGUUUUUAUUUAGACUAAUAUCUGCAUCUCCACCAAUAAUCUCCUUUUAUAUAACCAACAUGGAACUAUGACAAUACAUAGAUGAAGCAAAUUACUACAAUUACCACAAACAUAGCAAUAAUAAUAAUAAUAAUAAUAAUAAUUAAAGCUGCAAGCAGUUUAAAGGGCCCAAGCACCAAAGGCGCAGCAAGCGCAAUGCGGAGCCUGAAGAACACAAAGGAGAAACAGAAUGUACACGAAUGAAUAAAAGAUAGGUUCACAAGCACAGCUGAGAAUCAGAUUGAACAGGAAAUGAACAGAACAGAAGCAUUUAUUUGCAUGCCACGAGGUUGAGAGGUUAGUGCAAGGCUGAGCCUCAAAAGAAAGGAACCCAAAGACAAAACAUUACGCAAACUUUCAAGAACUUGCACCACAUGGGACUCGAACCAAGGACCUUUAGAAUUAAUGCUUGCUGUUUAUCACAAAAACCCGUCAUUUUGGACAAUGUUUUCAAGUUAUGAUUCUAGAACACUAGGAGGCGCUGUUUUUAAUUUUUUUCAUGUACCUAGGGGACAUGCUAUGAACGAACCCUUUGAAAUUUUGUGCCGGCAUGUCAGUUAUUUUAAAAGAUAUUACAAUAUAUGACAAUUUUCAAAAUGGCGAACAGGUGGUUUGUCCGAUCCUUGCAAGAUUGUUAUCCCCAGAUUCGCCACGACCCAAUGGAUCUGUAGACACCAAGGUCAUAAUUUUCUGUCAAAGUAUUCAAAAGUUAAAACGCAAAAAGAAUCAUUUUUCAAACCUCAUGACCUGUAGGUGGUGCUGUUCUCAAAUUUGGCACGGACCCUCGGAUCGUGUGUAGUACCAAGAAUCAUUAGGAGCGAUCAAAGUCUGGCCGAGAUUUAGAUUUAACAUCGUUAAAUCGUUAAAACAUUGUUAAAUCAUAACUUUUGAAUAGAUAUGAGUAUAAAAAUUCUGUUCAGUUAUUUUUGUACCGCUCUGUCCACUGAUCAUCUCAGCCAAAUUUGGUAAGAACUGGACAAAAUUUGAAUGAGAAGUAGCGAAUUAAACUGAACACUGUACAUUUCAAAAUGGUGACUACUGUAAUGGGUGGAGUCUUAAUGUAAUUUUAAUCAGCAUGAGGAGACUAGUCUGAUGAACUAAAUUUCUUUUCUCUAUGACAAAGUGUUCAACAAUUAUAACCAUUUGAAUAGUGAAUUUUUAAACUAGUGGUGGCGCUAUAGAGUUGGUCCUAGAGAGGCCACGAUUGGUCGACACACUACUCAUGGUCAUAUCUAUGAGUGUGCCAAAUUUCAUCAGGUUCAGAGGGCUGCCAUAGACUCCCCGUGGGGAAGAAUAAUAAUAAUAAGAAAACUAACUAACGGUGCUCGUACCCUAAUAAGGAGGAGAAGGAGUAGCAAAAAAGCUGCGUUUGACAAAAUCCAAGAUCUAUCUAAUUAGGUGAAAAAUGAUGUCAGAGGAUAUGUUGAACUUGUCUCGGGGAACCCAGAGAUGCCUGGAUUUUAAAUUUUGGAUACACGGUUCAAAAGUUAUGACCAUAAACGUACUUCCAAAUUAGGCCCAAAUUUUACCCAAUGGUGGCGCUAGGGCAUUGGCAGGACUUGGCUCAAAUUUGUUCAGAAUGUUCCUUAGAUCCUCCCCAAUCAGUGUGCCAUUUACCAGACAGUUCUAUGGGCUGCCAUAGACAUCUCAAGAAGAAGAAGAAGACAAAGACGACUAGACCCCUUUAUCAUCAUCAUAAUAAUAAUAAUAAUAAUAAUAAUAAUAAUAAUAACAAUCAAUCCACCUACUAGCAUGUUUUUGUGAGAUGAGAGGAAACUGGAGAACCCAGAGGAAACCCACUGAACAUGUGAAACUCGGCACAGAGAUUAGCUCAGGACUGAACUGGGACUCUGGAGCUGUGAGGCAGCGAUGCGACCAGCUUUUGUUGACACUUCAUUUUUGUUGUUCUUUUUAUCUUUUUCAAUUUGUUGUUCUUUUUUAUCUUUUUCAUUUUGUUGUUCUUUUUAUCUUUUUCAUCUUCUUGUUCUUUUAUCUUUUUCAUUUUAGUAUUCCAUGUUCAGUCACCUGAGCUUUGGCAAUAGCAAAUGCACCUGUGUCAUAUGCUAAGAAGACAUGUUUUAAAUUGAGACUGAGAGAAAGAACGUGUGUGUG
ensembl:lncRNA